UCUAGACAAUAAGAGAGGCCCUUAGGCACAUCCCCAGCUGUAGGCUCAGAGGCAGAAGUCUGGGGAAUCUCCACCAUGGCCUGGACCCCUCUCUUGUUAGCCUUCCUCUCUCUCUGCACAGGUCCUGUUGUCUCUUCUGCAGUGACUCAGCCAUCUGAGGUGUCCGUGGCCUUGGGACAGAGAGCCACCCUCACCUGCCAGGGAAGCAACUUUGAAUUUUUUUCUCCUAGCUGGUACCAGCAGAAGCCAGGCCAGGCCCCUGUACUGCUCAUCAAUAUUAAUAAUGAGCGCCACUCAGGGAUCCCUGAACGAUUCUCCGGCUCCAGCUCAGGAGACACGUCCACACUGACCAUCAGUGGGGCCCAGGCUGAGGACGAGGCUGACUAUUACUGUCUGGCAGUAGAUGCUCUUAGUUCUGAAACUCACAGUGAUACAGGCUGAUGGGGAAGUGAGACA